GGGUAGUUUGACUGGGGCGGUCUCCUCCCAAAGAGUAACGGAGGAGCACGAAGGUUGGCUAAUCCUGGUCGGACAUCAGGAGGUUAGUGCAAUGGCAUAAGCCAGCUUGACUGCGAGCGUGACGGCGCGAGCAGGUGCGAAAGCAGGUCAUAGUGAUCCGGUGGUUCUGAAUGGAAGGGCCAUCGCUCAACGGAUAAAAGGUACUCCGGGGAUAACAGGCUGAUACCGCCCAAGAGUUCAUAUCGACGGCGGUGUUUGGCACCUCGAUGUCGGCUCAUCACAUCCUGGGGCUGAAGUAGGUCCCAAGGGUAUGGCUGUUCGCCAUUUAAAGUGGUACGCGAGCUGGGUUUAGAACGUCGUGAGACAGUUCGGUCCCUAUCUGCCGUGGGCGCUGGAAGAUUGAGGGGGGCUGCUCCUAGUACGAGAGGACCGGAGUGGACGCAUCACUGGUGUUCGGGUUGUCAUGCCAAUGGCACUGCCCGGUAGCUAAAUGCGGAAGAGAUAAGUGCUGAAAGCAUCUAAGCACGAAACUUGCCCCGAG
rnacentral:rRNA from 1 species